rnacentral:rRNA from 1 species
UACAGAGGUCCCAAGCGUUGUUCGGAUUCACUGGGCGUAAAGGGUGCGUAGGUGGCAGGGUAAGUUUGAUGAUGAAAUCUCCGAGCUUAAACUCCGGGAAACUGCAUUGAAUACUAUCCUGCUUGAGGGUUGGAGGGAGACUGGAAUUCUCGGUGUAGCAGUGAAAUGCGUAGAUAUCGAAGAGGAACACCAGUGGCGAAGGCGAGUCUCUAGGACAACUCCUGACACUGAGGCACGAAAGCUAGGGGAGCAAACAGG